rnacentral:rRNA from 1 species
CCGGCUUACCAACCCGAUGCAAACUGCGAAUACCGGAGAAUGUUAUCACGGGAGACACACGGCGGGUGCUAACGUCCGUCGUGAAGAGGGAAACAACCCAGACCGCCAGCUAAGGUCCCAAAGUCAUGGUUAAGUGGGAAACGAUGUGGGAAGGCCCAGACAGCCAGGAUGUUGGCUUAGAAGCAGCCAUCAUUUAAAGAAAGCGUAAUAGCUCACUGGUCGAGUCGGCCUGCGCGGAAGAUGUAACGGGGCUAAACCAUGCACCGAAGCUGCGGCAGCGACACUGUGUGUUGUUGGGUAGGGGAGCGUUCUGUAAGCCUGUGAAGGUGUGUCGUGAGGCAUGCUGGAGGUAUCAGAAGUGCGAAUGCUGACAUAAGUAACGAUAAAGCGGGUGAAAAGCCCGCUCGCCGGAAGACCAAGGGUUCCUGUCCAACGUUAAUCGGGGCAGGGUGAGUCGACCCCUAAGGCGAGGCCGAAAGGCGUAGUCGAUGGGAAACGGGUUAAUAUUCCCGUACUUGGUGUUACUGCGAAGGGGGGACGGAGAAGGCUAUGUUGGCCGGGCGACGGUUGUCCCGGUUUAAGCGUGUAGGUGUGUGUUCCAGGUAAAUCCGGUUCACUUUAACACUGAGGCGUGACGACGAGGCACUACGGUGCUGAAGCAACAAAUGCCCUGCUUCCAGGAAAAGCCUCUAAGCAUCAGGUAACAUCAAAUCGUACCCCAAACCGACACAGGUGGUCAGGUAGAGAAUACCAAGGCGCUUGAGAGAACUCGGGUGAAGGAACUAGGCAAAAUGGUGCCGUAACUUCGGGAGAAGGCACGCUGACACGUAGGUGAAGUGAUUUACUCAUGGAGCUGAAGUCAGUCGAAGAUACCAGCUGGCUGCAACUGUUUAUUAAAAACACAGCACUGUGCAAACACGAAAGUGGACGUAUACGGUGUGACGCCUGCCCGGUGCCGGAAGGUUAAUUGAUGGGGUCAGCGCAAGCGAAGCUCCUGAUCGAAGCCCCGGUAAACGGCGGCCGUAACUAUAACGGUCCUAAGGUAGCGAAAUUCCUUGUCGGGUAAGUUCCGACCUGCACGAAUGGCGUAAUGAUGGCCAGGCUGUCUCCACCCGAGACUCAGUGAAAUUGAACUCGCUGUGAAGAUGCAGUGUACCCGCGGCAAGACGGAAAGACCCCGUGAACCUUUACUAUAGCUUGACACUGAACAUUGAGCCUUGAUGUGUAGGAUAGGUGGGAGGCUUUGAAGUGUGGACGCCAGUCUGCAUGGAGCCGACCUUGAAAUACCACCCUUUAAUGUUUGAUGUUCUAACGUGGACCCGUUACCCGGGUUGCGGACAGUGUCUGGUGGGUAGUUUGACUGGGGCGGUCUCCUCCUAAAGAGUAACGGAGGAGCACGAAGGUUGGCUAAUCCUGGUCGGACAUCA